UUUAGCCAGAGUUUGUUACAGGGCAGUAAGUAUUUAUCACUCAUCCCUUUAAGCUCGCUUUCCCAAUAAUGCAAAUGCAGGGCUACCUACCAACUUUGUGUUGCCUGUUGCACAUUUCUAUGAAAAACUGUGCUCUUGAUGCACAUGUAAGAAUUACUUAAGCUUCUUUAAACAGGUGCAGGUUGGAACUUUACUGACUAAAGCACACAGAGCAGGGAAUAGAACCUUUUUCCCCUAGACACAUUUUGAUUGAAGGAAGCCCAAGAGGUAUAAUGCUGAGGAGCAAAGAAGACACUUUCUGUUACUGGAAUAUAUCCUAAAGCAAGUGGCUUUGCAACAAUUGGAGGGGGGGGUGGGGUGGAACAGUAAGGUGCAUGGAGGCCAUUAAUUUGCCAGGAGGGCACUGCGGAUAUAAGAAACAGCAGGGAAGAGUGGGGCAUCAGGGAAAAGUUAGAAAAGCAUUGAACAAACAUGAUGAGCUGGCAAGGUAUAGAAGGAAGUAGGGACAAAAGCCUAAUUGAAUGCUUUGAAGUUACAUUGAGUGUUAGAAAAAAGGCAACUGGUUCAGAAGCCUAAAAUGGCCUAAGUACUAAGAUGGAAAAGUCAGUAAUAGAAAAGGGGAAAAAAAAAUCCUUGAUGCAGCUUGAUGGGAUGAGGGAGAAAGAAGGAAACCAGCAGAACUGCAGGUUACAAAAACUGCAGAUAUGCUUGUGUUUCUCCAGGUAUAUCCUUUUCUUUCUUCUUCUUGAAAAAUCUAUCUAGACUUGGAGGGCUGUUACAGCAUAAGGAUUUGAUAUUUCUGGACUGUGCUCAACUUGGUAGAGGCACCAGGAGCUCCAAGGAUCCUCCUGAUCCUACAGAGAGCCCAGGUCAGUAGCACCACACAGGAAGCUGAUCGUGCCCAGCAAUGUCAUUUUUACCAUGCAUGACUUGUGUGGUUACUGUGUGCUCUGCAUGAUGGAUGUGACACUUCCAGAAAACCACAGCUGGAGGCAGGGUGCAGCAUACAGCAGCUCCACAGCGCGUGGGCUUCUUUAGAUAGGUCCUAGGAGGAGUCAGGGUGGGAAGCAGGGACAGCCUUGAUCAGAAGCUAAGCGCAAGAAGAGGCAGGUAUUAUCUCAUCUGUACUUUUAGGAGUUUGACAUUACUCCCAUUAUAAUAAGUGGGAUAAAACCUGAAAAGAGUCGCAAUGUGCAAGUGUCCCUGCGCCUGCACCGAGUCAAGGGAUAAAAGGAUUAGGAUUCUCUGGGGAAUGCCAGAGUUUUGUUUAUUAACUUGGAUGGCAGGGGAAGGCAACUGAGGGUAAGAGAAGUUAUGAUGGCAAAACACAGGAAGGGAAGACAACACAGCAUGCCACUUUUCAGUGGGAUGUUUAAUUGUAAGCUCCAGAGAAAUCAGGACUGUUUGUUCCAAGCCACGUGAAGAUGUAUCCGGAGGCUGCAUUAAAAAAAAAAAAAGAGGCGACUGUACGUUUGCAGGUCAUAAAGCUUCCUAAAGUUAUUUAAGAAACAUAACACUGAAAUUGCUUCUUCUGCCUUCAUGAAGAUUGGGUGCAAUGAUAGACUGAGGAAAGCCAUUGCCUCUGCUCAGAGACAACUUACACUUUCUAAGUGGCUCAUGAACAGCUGAAGUCAACCCUGGUCAUACCAAUGAGAGCACAGUCAAUAAAGAUAAUUGUGUUUGUUUAGCACAGAAGACUGGAAGUAUAAAUGAAGAGUACAAUGGAAGAGCUUGCUGGGAGCCUGGACAUCUUUUCCAAGGGCAGUCCUGACAUUUUAGCGUGAAAAAGUCAUUAUAAAUUGUAACCAAAGGCAAAAAAAUGAACUUUUACUCUAUUUAAAAUUUCUGGGAAACCUUGACUUCAUAAUUAAUGAUCUUCUCACUUGAGUCAUGUUUGAGCAUUUCAUUUUGAUGUGAAAAAAAAUUACUUUUCUUUUCUUUUUUUGGUUAGCUUCAUUACAGGUGUCAUACUAAAUGCAAUGUAAAUUCCCAUAAAACACUUAGUGUGAAUUUAUUCUGCCUAAAAUCUAUUGUGCCUAUUUUUGACCUGUUGCAAACAGGACCUCUUUAAGAACUCAUCACAUUCCUGAAGCCUGGUAUCUUGUCUGUAUAUAAUAGAGUUAAACUUAAGGCUUUCUGGGCAGUUUAUUUACUCAGAGGGUCAGACUAUUUCUCUGCAGGAGCACAUCCUGGGAGAGAGAGGACAGAUUAUUGCUAUGCCUUCUGUCCUUUUAGGCUUUCUUGAGUACUAAUUUGCAACUUCUUUAGUCCCUCUUGCU